GCGUUCAUAGCUCAGUUGGUUAGAGCACCUCCUUGACAUGGUGGGGGUCGUUGGUUCGAGUCCAAUUGAACGCACCA
rnacentral:tRNA from 1 species